rnacentral:lncRNA from 1 species
UGACUGCCUUUCUAGAAGGGUGUGUCUAAUUGGUAUUCCUGCUUCCAACAGUCUUCUCGGGACUGCUGCAAGAGUAACUCUCUCUCUUGAUCAGAAAAGUGAUCACUAAUGGCCAUGUCUAUUUCCACAGGUAUUUCUGGGAUUCACGGACUGCAAAUGUCCUAUUAUAGACCUUCUGACAUUUGUUGACCACCAGUUGUGUGCCAUGCAUUGGCUAUUAUUCCCAUAGUUAUUUCUUUAUUUAAUAUUGACAGUAUUACAAGUUGGACGUUAUUGCAAAUUAUUGUUCUCCGUUUUUUGGAGUGGCAUCCCAAGAUUGUUUUAUUCUCCUUGUAGUGGAAGGCAAUAUUUCUAUUCUUUCAAAAUUGAGAAAAUGGCCCACUCUCAGAUAAAGAGAGCAAAGAGUCAAAAUCAGGAAAGCAUCAGGACUAAAAAAUAACUCCUAUCAGGCCCUAUCAUUGUUCCUGUUAGUUAAUCAUUAUUUGAAUUAUAAAUUACAGGGAAUUUCAUCCACCUGUGAUAAAAUUGAGCUCUUUAUGUAAUACCAUAUUUUCUGAGAGUAAGGAAUUUCUUGCUGUCAGUUUAUCUGUACCAGUUAAAACUUUUCAUUUGAAACUUGACAUAGCAGUUUAACUGUCAUCUCUUGCAUCUGGUUUACAGAAAUUGACAGUCUCUUCUUUGUUUUUAACCUAUUUAGCUUAAGGGAGAAAUAUACUAUCAUUUAUACUUAAAUCCAACCUACAAAGCAAAAAAGAAAAAAAAAAUCUACAAAUCUGACAGGGUGUUUUUCACUCUGAAAAUAAACAGGGUGUGCAAUUUUUCAUGGUUAGUAAUUUCUAUAAUUGGGAAACUGUAUGCUUCUGGUAUAAUUAAUAAAGAGUUGGUUUAUUCAGAUCUUCUGAAAAUCUAGCUUAUGUUGCCCUCUUAAUGGUAAACUGAAGGGGCUGUCAUUAGCAAUAUUUCACAGUGGGUUGUGAUUUAAAUUUAAUUUUCUUUUCUUUUCCACCCCAGAGUUUCUUCCCUUUCAUGAUUUCAGAGUGUAAUGAGAAGUAGUUUGAAGUAGAAGUGUAGCAGAUGAUGUCAUAACCUUUGUCCCAUGCAAGCCCUGAGUUGAAGAAUGAAUAGCAGAGUGACUGAAAAGUGAUUAAAUAGUGAAUCAAGACCAGUGAAAAGUGCUGGUGGGUGGGCGCCAGGGAAAAAGGAAAGAAGGAGCAAAAUUCAACCAGGAAUUUUUCUUGGGGUUAUAGUUACUACAGCUGGAUAGCUAGUUUCAAUGAGCUAAAAUGGAUCUUCAAGCAAAGUGGCUGAGCUCUUCUAGUAGAAAGUAGAAGCCAGGAAGGCCAGUGAGCAGAAAGCUGGACAGCCUUGCCUAAACCUCAAGAAGCAAGUAUGUGAGCCCAAGGGAAUGCUGGAGGGAGCCAGCUAUGAGCAAGUUUGCAGAGCCUGGAAGGAGGUCUGACAUGCUGAGUGUAGGUUCUAAAGAACAAGGGCAGCUUUGGCCGAAUGAAGUUGAAAUGCUCCCUGAUAGGGUUCCAGAGCCUAUGAGAAUGAAGAGACACUUACGGGAUAUCAGAGUUAUGAUAUUUCCCACAAAUGGUUGAAACCUUUUGCAAAUAGUUAAAUCGAAUUUAAGUAAGUUCAACAUACACUAAGCAGCUAUUCUUGCCAGAUACUGCGUGAAUUAUCAAAAUACAAAGGGAGUCAUGGCCCCUGUAUAGCCACCCCCUACCCCUGAGCCUAAUGAAGGAAAAAGGCUUGAAAACCAUCAAACAAAGUAUUAAGAUGAAGCUGACAUAUGAACACAGGGUGUGGAAUUGUCACUAAAACAGUCUGAGAGGGUGAAGGAAGGUGGCAUAGAGCAGGGGCAAAUGAGCUGGGCAGGAAGUGGAUUUUGCCAGGUAAGGGCAGAAAGCAUGACAAUGCCUGGCGUGUUCUAGGCAUGCUGGCAACAUGGUAGCGGAGUGUAGGAUGCAUUGUAUGGAGUAUGUUGUACAAGUAUGGAGGAUGCACUAGACUAAUAGCUGAGGACCAGUGCUACUGCAAGAUACAAGAAUGAGAGGCUGAGAGCCAAAUACCUUUAAUGAGAAAAGAUGGGUCAUAAUUUGACAUGGUGAGUGAUAAGGGGCUUCGUGGUCUGCAGCAAUUUGGAGGUGCUAAUUAGGGAAGGUGCAAAUAACCCCAGUGUUGAAGUACUACUGUCUAUUUUUAAAGUUUCUCAUACCUCUCAUUUCAUUAUUUUUCUAUUUUCCUCUUAUUUCUUACAUAGAGAGACAUAGCAGCAUUACUUCAAUAACAGGAGUGCAGAAGGCCCUGGAGAGCCCGGCAGUCCCACCCAAGGCAGACGCCCCUAAAUCUUUGUGUCUUUAUAACAAACCCUGGAGGUGUGGUAUGGAAUGAAUCAUGUCCCCACUUCCCCCCUACCCCAGCCCCCUGUAAAUUCAUAUGCUAAAGCCCUAACUCCAAGCAUGACUGCAGUUGGAAAUAGGGCCUAAAUGGAGGUAACACAGGUUAAACAAGGUCAUGAGGGUGGGGCCUUAACCUGAUAGGAUUGAUGUCCUCAUAAGAAGAGGGAGAAACACCAAGAAUACUCCUCUCCUUCCUCCCUUCCCUCUGUGUGUAACAAAGAGGCCACGUGAGGACACAGCAAAAGUCUUCCCUACAAACCCAGAAGGGAGGUCUCACAAGAAACCAACCCUGAGAGCACCUUGAUCUUGGACGGCCAGCCUCCAGAACUGGGAGAAUAUUCAUUUCUUUUGUCUAAACCACCCUGUGUAUGGUAUUUUGUUCUACCAGCCUGAACUAAGACACUCUCAUGGAAAGAACAUGGCCUUUGGAACCAAAUAGUUAUGGGUUUAAAUCCAAAUUCUGCCAUUUAUUAGUUGUAUCUGUGCCUUACUUACUUUAUUUUAAAAUACAGACAAUGGAGGAUAGUAUUGCUCCCUGAUCAUUUAUUUAUUUAGCAAUUAUUUAUUGAGUACAUUGGACAUGCCAGGUACUAAACAUACAAAAAUGCUGUGCUUUAAGGCUACAAUAAAGAUUAAAAACAGACAUGGCCCUUUACCUCCUGGAGUUUAUGAUACAGAGAGGGAUGGACAAUAAUGAAUGAACCUCACAAUUCAUAUUCAUUUGUAAUUAUGAUUGGCUUAAGCUUCUGCUAAAGAUCUGUCUCACCACAGCUGUGCCUCAUCUGGUAAAUGCUUGUCCAGUUGAGGACAGUUCAGGUCCAAGUCAGGACAGUUCUGAAGGGGCCAUCUCAGCUUCACACCUCUUCGUGGAAUUUGCUAAGUUCUUGUCACCUAGUUCAACUUCUCCAUCUGCCUAAUCCUGUUUCUUUCUCUUCUGCUCCAAAAGUGUUGACCACCAGAGCACUCCCCAUUAAAUUCCUGUGUGCUAAUCUCUAUCUCAGAAUUUGCUUCCCGGGGACCUGACCUAUAGGAAUGGGUUUGUAUGAAAUAAAUACAGACAUGCUUUACCAGCAAGAUUCUUCAGCCGAACCUGGGGAACGGGCUGUGGGCUCCAUCCCUCAUCUCUCUGCUCACAAACUAUGAGCCAGCAGGCACAGAAACAGGAUGGAUGAGCAGGUGACAGGCUCAUUGUCCUGAUACUGACAGAUCUUGUCUUGAGCCUUCAAUAAGUCCAAUGGUCAAAUGUGCUGAGACACAGCCUGAAUUUAUAAAGAUAAAAGCAUCAUUAGUACCUUUGCCUUAACCUAUCCAGCACUUGAGAGUUAGUGAAAAGUCACAGCCAUCAGCUGUCUCAGAAAAAGGCAGAGAGAUAGGAUAAAUGGCCUAGAAAUAGAUCCUAGAUAAGAAGAACUGAAAAGGAAAAUGUUACUCAGUAAAUACUUUUGGGAAAAUAGUGUUAGAAAAAUGAGUUAGUUACUUGGGAAAAAAAGGAAAGUUAUUCAAUUCCUACUGUAAUAAAAAGAAAUAAAGAAGAAAGAAAGAAAUAGAUGUGAAAUAGGAAUACAUUUUUUGAAAAACAGAAAACUGAAGAAGCAUAGAAGAUAGGGCGAGUUAUUUAUCACUAAGAAUUAAAUAAUGAAAUAAUCAACAACAACAAUACUCCAUAUAUGUGUAAGUCUGUCAAAUUAUGACUGAAAAAGAAAAGAAAAACAAAAAUUAUAAUAAAUAAUUACUACAAACAGGAUAGAAAAAGGCUUCAUGUAGAAAAAUAACAGAAAUCAGUAAGAAAAAUAGUAACAGUUAAAUUUUAAAUGGGAAAGAAUAUGAACAGUUCAUAGGCAAUAAAAAGUCUAUUAAAUGUACAAAAUAUUUAUCAUGAGUAUCAAUUAAGUUGUAACACUAUGCCUAUUUGUAUCAAUUUAGCAAAUAUAUUUAAAGUGAUCAUCUAUUGUUAACAAUUGAUUUGCUGGUGUGUUUGCCUCUCUCCCACUAAGCUCUGAUUUCUUUGAGGGGAGGGACUUCAUCUUAUUUGUUAUUGUUUCCCCAGGAUGAGGCACAGUACACCUGGCACAUAGGUUCUUCAGUUUGGGAGAUAAUUGGGUAAUGAAUUCAUCAAGUUUGUUCUUGUCAGGUUAACAAUACAGAGACAGUUGGUCUAAGUCCCCAGAGGUGUCAGUCUUAUUCUUUCUAAAUAAGCAAAAGAUCCUUGAGAUGUUUCUCACACAGCUAACUAGAAUGUUGCUGAUAAUUUCAGACUCUGUGUACAACAAAAUCCACUACCGUGUUUUGUUUGUCAAGUUUGUCAGCUCCUGUGAGAACUUCUACAAAGGGUCAUAGUAUGUGCACGAGACCAAGGUAAGAGAACUCCAGGGUAAGUCAUGUCAUAGUGUUAUCAUGAUCUUUCUUAUUAUUGCAGUUUUUAGAAAUAAGAGCCUCUUACCCCAGGAACAAUUGCGGUCUGUCUUAUAAGAGGUCACCCAGAAAACAAUACACAGUAAAAACAAAACAUAAAAUAUAGAAAGCCUUCCACAGAGGUGAGAGGUGAUUUUUUCACACUUUUUUUUCUCACCUGAUAAGUGAUAGGGCACACUGUUAAACCUCCUUUGAAGGGUGUUUCACAUCAUCCUGAUUUAAACACAAUGUUACCUAGAUUUCAGUCUCGAAGG